GGUGCCAUAGCUCAGUUGGUAGAGCAAAGGACUGAAAAUCCUUGUGUCCCCGGUUCGAUUCCUGGUGGCACCAC
rnacentral:tRNA from 48 species